rnacentral:rRNA from 1 species
GACGAACGCUGGCGGCGUGCUUAACACAUGCAAGUCGAACGGAAAGGCCCCUUUGGGGGUACUCGAGUGGCGAACGGGUGAGUAACACGUGAGUAACCUGCCCUUGACUUCGGGAUAACUUCAGGAAACUGGGGCUAAUACCGGAUAGGAAUCCUUGCUGCAUGGUGGGGGUUGGAAAGCUUCGGCGGUUUUGGAUGGACUCGCGGCUUAUCAGCUUGUUGGUGGGGUGUGGCUUACCAAGGCUUUGACGGGUAGCCGGCCUGAGAGGGCGACCGGCCACAUUGGGACUGAGAUACGGCCCAGACUCCUACGGGAGGCAGCAGUGGGGAAUAUUGCACAAUGGGCGGAAGUCUGAUGCAGCAACGCCGCGGGCGGGAUGACGGCCUUCGGGUUGUAAACCGCGUUCAGCAGGGGCGAAGCUUGUGGUGACGGUACCUGCAGAAGAAGCACCGGCUAACUACGUG